CAUGGCGGUUGCAAGACCGGCUUCAGUCCCCACUGGUGUCCAUGCGAGAUGGUGCCCUUAAGAGGCCGGAUCCUUCAGACCAGCCCAGAAGGAUUCCUUUAGAAACCAGUGUUAAAACCUUUCCAGGUUGACAGGUUACAGAACAUCACGGAGGGAAGCCAAGCCAGGAACUCCAGGCAGGAGAUUGAAGCAGAAACCACAGAGGAAUACUGCUUAGGAGCAUGCUCUUUCUGGCUUGCUCAACUUGCUUUCUUAAACGGCCCAGACCCCACUUGCCUAGCAAUGGCACUGCCCACAGUAGGGAGGACACGCCCACCAUAGACCAAUCUCAUGUUCCUCAGCUAAGGUUCCCUCUUCCCAAGUGAUUCUAGUUUUUUGUGGAAAUGAAAAACAAAAACAAAAAUAACUUAACCAAUAUACAGGACCUCACUAUGUAGUAUAGGCUGGCCUCGAUCUCAAAGUAAUUCACCUUUCUCAGACUCCUUCGAGCUACGAUUACAGGUAUGCACCAACCACACCGAGCCUGGACUCAUCUUUCAGACACAUGAUGGCUUUGGAACAUUGCAGAAGAAGAGAGAGAAAUGAUGUAAGAGCCAGAGGACAGGACAGACUUGUGUGAAACACUGUCUUCUGAACGUGAAAGAGGAACUUCUCGUUCAAACCACCACAAGUAGGUCCAAAGCAACAAGGCCCAACAACCAUGAACUGACAACUUUAAGACUGUGAAACAAAAAUAAGCACCCCUGCCUUUCGUACUGACUGUUUCAGGCCAGGCCUUCCUCUCUGAUGCUGCAGUGAAUCUUCUAAGUCAGCCCAGGACUUACAGUGCCUCCACAUGAUAAGCAUGCUAAAGGCUCUGGUCUCUUCUCCCAGGCACCUGGAAUCAUGACUGUCUGUAGCAUGAACUCUUUUCCCUCCCCUUGUACUUACUUCAAACAAACAAACAGAAAACUAUGUCUGUCUUGGGAAGUGUUCUUGAUUCCCAACUCCUGUUCUACUUAUUGGAUUACAGUUCAUCUAUCAAGAAUCAACCCCAAGGGCAAAGGACACCAGAACAGCCCUACCCUGGACUUCCUGCUGCGUGCAUUGGCAUUGUCUACCAAGGAGGUUGCACCUGCCAUUCAGUGAGCUCGUGGAGGGAGACACAUCCCUCCAAUAUUUUUUUUAAAACUUGGUUGCUUUUUACAUUUUUGUUUGAUUGUCUGAUUACUUUCAGACAUAGUCUCACUAAACUUGCCAAGCUGGCCUUGAAUUCAUACAGUAGUCCAGACCGGCCCAGAGCUUGAGCUAUUACUCCCUCCUCCCCAAGACAGCUGUGAUCAGACCCAGCUGCCACCAGACCCAGCUUCUAAGACUGGGUUAGCAAGAAUAGCAUCAGAAAAACAGACACACACACAGUAUGGUGGCACACACCUCUCAUCCCAGCACUCAAAAAGACUGAGACAGGGCGAUCACUUGAAUCCAGGGUUGGAGACCCUGAGUCACAUGCAGAGACUCCAUCUCAGAAGAGAAAAGGAGCAGUUUCCCAAAGUCAUUGCUAUUAAAAUAAAACUUAUUAUUCUGACCAUACCUCUCACACUUUGCCCACUGUAAACAAUGAAAUGCAAGAAACUGAAAAACAUGAGAUGCAGAUUUUCAGGGUUUGGUUUUUU
rnacentral:lncRNA from 1 species